AUGAAACUCAUGCAAAGCCACGAUGGCGAGAAGCAGCACCUGUUCAAACUAGAAGAUGCAAAACCACUACGUGAAUGCACGUUCUACUACCUACUGACACACGCAUGCAAUAAAAAGUACAAUACCCUUGUAGACAUAAAAAAAUACUAACCAUGCAUGGUGUCACCAUUGGAUUCUAUCAGUGAAGAUGUUGUUUAUGGUUUAAAAUAAUAGCUAUAUUCGAUGAAGAAUAUAAACAGAGCUAUUAGUUUUUAGAUUAUUAUAUGUUUUAGAAUGACAGUCAAUCAGUCUUCUUUUAUUUAUUUCUAA